rnacentral:rRNA from 1 species
GUAGGGAAUAUUGGGCAAUGGAGGCAACUCUGACCCAGCCAUGCCGCGUGCAGGAUGACGGCCCUCUGGGUUGUAAACUGCUUUUAUACGGGAAGAAAAAAUACUACGUGUAGUAUACUGACGGUACCGUAAGAAUAAGGAUCGGCUAACUCCGUGCCAGCAGCCGCGGUAAUACGGAGGAUCCAAGCGUUGUCCGGAUUUAUUGGGUUUAAAGGGUGCGUAGGCGGAUAUUUAAGUCAGUGGUGAAAUCCUGCAGCUUAACUGUAGAAUUGCCAUUUAAACUGAAGAUCUUGAAUGUGUUUAAAGUAGGCGGAAUGUAUCAUGUAGCGGUGAAAUGCUUAGAUAUGAUACAGAACACCGAUAGCGAAGGCAGCUUGCUGAACCAUUAUUGACGCUGAGGCACGAAAGCGUGGGGAGCGAACAGGAUUAGAAACCCUGGUAGUCC